GAUUUGCAUGCUGUCCCCUAAGGAGGACCUUCCCUGGCCAGCCUGACAUAAAAGGGCAGCUCUAGCCUGGCUUGGACUGAUCAGGGCUCCUCCGUUCACAGCUGACCAUGAGGUUCCCUGCUCAGCUCCUGGGGCUCCUCCUGCUCUGGGUCCCAGGAUCCGAUGGGGCCAUUGUGCUGACCCAGACUCCACUCUCCCUGUCAGUCAGCCCUGGAGAGCCGGCCUCCAUCUCCUGCAGGUCCAGUCAGAGCCUCCUACACACUGAUGGAAAGAAUUAUUUGAAUUGGUACCUGCAGAAACCAGGCCAGUCUCCACAGCUCCUGAUCUAUUAUGCUACCAACAGGGAUACUGGGGUCCCAGACAGGUUCACUGGCAGUGGAUCAGGCACAGAUUUCACCCUGAAAAUCAGCAGGGUGGAGGCUGAGGAUGUGGGAGUUUAUUACUGUUUUCAAGCUUUACAAUCUCCUCCCACAGUGAUACAGCCCUUAACACAAACCCCUCUCCUGGGGGCCCAGCUGCACACAUCGGUGUGCAUGUUGUCUGGGGAGCAGAGGGGCAGAAGCUCUGAGUCUGUGUAA